GAAAUAGGUUAGUGGGUAGACCAGGAGACUCUUAAUCUCAGGGUUGUGGGUUCAAACCCCACGUUGGAUG